rnacentral:SRP_RNA from 1 species
GCCAGGCAUGGCGGCGCAUGCCUGUAAUCCCAGCUACUUGGGAGGCUGAGGCACAAGAAUCACUUGAACCCAGGAGGCAGAGGUUGCAGUGAGCUGAGAUUGUGCCACUGCACUCCAGCCUGGGCAACAGAGUGAGACUCUGUCUCAA